rnacentral:rRNA from 1 species
UACGUAGGGGGCUAGCGUUGUCCGGAAUCAUUGGGCGUAAAGCGCGUGUAGGCGGUCCGGUAAGUCCGCUGUGAAAGUCGGGGGCUCAACCCUCGAAAGCCGGUGGAAACUGUCGGGCUAGAGUGCGGAAGAGGCGAGUGGAAUUCCUGGUGUAGCGGUGAAAUGCGCAGAUAUCAGGAGGAACACCAGCGGCGAAGGCGGCGCUCUGGGCCGGUACUGACACUGAGGAGCGAAAGCGUGGGGAGCAAACAGG